rnacentral:rRNA from 1 species
CAGUCGCCGCGGGAAUACGUAGGGGGCAAGCGUUAUCCGGAAUUACUGGGUGUAAAGGGAGCGUAGACGGUUAAACAAGUCUGAAGUGAAAUGCCGGGGCUCAACCCCGGAGCUGCUUUGGGAACUGUAGAACUGGAGUGUCGGAGGGGUAAGCGGAAUUCCCAGUGUAGCGGUGAAAUGCGUAGAUAUUGGGAGGAACACCGGCGACGAAGGCGGCUUACUGGACGACAACUGACGUUGAGGCUCGAAGGCGUGGGUCGCAAACAGGAUUAGAUACCCCCGUAGUCCCUGUCUCUUAUAC